AUGUUAUAUAAUUGGUAUUAGCUUUUUUUAAAAACAUAUGAUUGAAUUUACCAGGGAGGCCAUCCUAGACUUGGCCUUUUCUUUAGAAAAAAUUUAAUUACUAAUUCAGUCUCUUUGCUUGUUUUUUUAUAUGUACAAUUGUCUAUUUCUUCUUGAGUCUGUUUCAAUAGUAUGUCUUUUUAGGAAUUUAUCUAAUUCAUCUAAAGUUAUUUAAUAUAUUGUAUAUAAUUAUUCAGAGUAUUCUUUUGUAAUGCUUUCUAUUUUAGUAAGUUUGGUAGCACUGUUACCUCAUAUAUCUGAUUCUAGUAAUUGAAGUCUUCUCUCUUUCUCACUCUUUCUCUUUCUCUCUGGUCAGUCUGUCAGUCUAGCUAAGGUUAAAGGACUGUCCAUUAUGCUGAGCUUUCCAAAGAAUCAUCUUUUGGUUUCAUGAUUUUUCAUUGAUUUCUCUAUUGUUUUCCUCUUCUCUAUUUCAGUACUUUAUACUCUACUCUUUGUUAUUUGCUUUUCUGCUUGCUUUAGGUUUAUUUUUCUUUUCUCAGUGUCUUAUAUGGAAUAUUAGGUCAUCAAUUUGAGAACUUUCUUCUUUUUUAUAUAGACAUUUAUAGAUAUAAAUUUCUCUUUGAGCAUUGCUUUAGCUGCACCCCAUAACUUUUUAUAUGUUGUGUCUUCACUUUUAUUCUUCUCAAAGUAUUUCCUAAUUUCCCUUAUAACUUCUUGUUUGACACAUUUGUUAUUUAAGAGUGUGUUGUAUAAUUUCCACAUAUUUGCGAAUUUCUCUAUCUUUUUCUAUUAUUAUUUUCUAAUUUCACUCCACAAUGAUUGGAGAACAUGCCUUAUAUUAUUUCUAUAUUUUAAAAAUUUAAUGAAGUUUGUUUUAUAGCCUAGUAUAUGGUCUAUCCUAAAGAUUCUUCCAUGUACACUUGAGAAUAUAUAUUCUGCUGUUGUUGAGUGAAGUGUUCUGUAGAUAUCCAUUAGUUCCACUUUGUUUAUUGUGAUAUUCAAGUCUUCUAUUUUUUUUUUAUUUUCUUACUGUUGAUUAUCCAUUAGCAAAUAUGAUAUUUAUGUUUCUGACCAUAUCAAAGUGCUGAAGUCCAAUGAACAUUUAGCUAUAUCUGGUGAGCAAGUCAUUUAAAUUCUCUCUGGGGCUUAAUCCUCAUGAAUAUGGGCAUUUACUUCCAGUUUUUCUUCGUAGGCCUCUUACCCCUCUGUGAUUCUGUUACUUUUACUAUCCCUAGGUCUUAAAUGAAAUGAUUUCAUAAUUCAUGAUGAAACGAAAUUUAGAUUAUAAGUUUUCUGUGUUUUCUGCAUUCAUAAAAUGUGUGAUUCACUAGUAGCUUUUGCUGAGAAAUGUAUCAUACAAAAAUAGUCAAAUGCCUGCCUAAGACAGCUGUUUUUAGAAAGAGAAAACUAUGAUUCAAAGUCCAACACAAGCAUGUCAUCCAAUGGGAUCCCUUCUCCACCUGAUUAGAAUGAAUCUUAGUCCUCCACUUUCAAAUCACAUUAUACACACCUCCGUUAUAAAAAUUGUCCCACUAGUAUGUUUUCUGUAUGCCCCACCCCAAAAGACUGAAUGUUUGAUAAUGAAACCUUACCUCAUUUUUGUUUGUAGCUGUAGAAUAAUAUCUCAAGAGGUACAAAUAAAUGCUUGUAUUUUAAUAGUAAUAUAUUUUAUUUCCAAUUUGGCCAUAAUUAAAGAUGUCUCUCAUAUUUACGUUAUUAGCUAUGUGUAUCUCAACUGAGUCAACAUUCUGUCUCACCUGAGUCCAUUUGUGUGCCCUCCCAUAUGUAGCACCUUAACUCCUAUUCAAAGUAUACUUGGUUUUAAGACUCAUGGUUUAUUCAGUACCUUUGUUCAGGUUUUGUUCAAGAUGAACCUCUUUCUUUUGAUUGGUUUGCUCAGGUGAGUGUGCAGGCUACUUUUCUUCCUUGACAUUUGAAUGUUAUAUGCUGCAUUUGUUGUUACACUUUAGCAUGACUUUAAAGCAGUUUUCUGUCCCUGCUUAUAGUGGCUCACCAGCAGCUCACCUGUUCUCUGGGUAUUCUCUGAUCCUGUCUCUUCUAUUAGCAUCCUAAGAUGUUUUAGACCCUAAUACUGUUUUGCUAUUUACUGUUUGUAUUUGAAUAUGUCAAAAUUGUUUGACAUGAUAGAUGUCACUUUUGAGCCAGGUUGCAAGUCAAAUCCCUUAAUUAACUUAGUGACAAAGGAGGGUUUAUUUACCUAUCAUGUCAUCAUUAUUUGGAACAGUUCCUUGAGAGGCCAAUUUAAGCUGUGCUGCAUGCAAGCUAGUACUUGACCUUGACCACUAUCAGAAAUAUUUUCAAUCCAACAGAUGUGUUAACAUCUUGAGAAAUUUAUCAUCCGAAUAUAAAGCACCAUAAGUGUUCCGUGGAUUUUUAAAGAUCUAUACACACUUAUUACCUUUUAAUGUAUGUUACCAAAAUAUUUAGAAAAUAAAGCUAAACACAAAGGAAAAAUUAUAACCUCCCCUCAUCCUCUCUGUAUUAUCAACCCCUGGCUAUAAAUACUGUUAAAACUUGGGGUCUCUUCCUUUCCAGACUUCUAUCUGUUUGUCUGUCUAUGUAGCUAUCAAUCUAUGAAACUCUGUAUAUACAUAUGCAUACUUUUGCUAUAAGAAAACUACUUACUAUUUUGUGCCAACAUUUUUUAUAUAUCACCAUAUUGUAAUAUAUAUCACCAUAUUGUAAUAUAUAUCACCAUAUUGUAAACUCCAAGAUGAGGUUAGAAUACAAAAUUAAAUAACUUGACUGUCUAUAAUUUAAAUUCUCAUAGUUAUCAUAGCUUCAAAUAAAGUAUCAAUCAGAAAACUCUUUCAACUCUAAAUCUAAAAUAAAUCUAUUUUUAUGAAUAAUUAUUCAAAAUAAUCAUUAGUGUGAUGCAUAUGUAUUAGAUUAUAAAAUAUGUAUCUUUUGCUAAAUGAUUAAUUUUUAAAAUAAUGUACCUUUAUCUAAGAUGGUGGAUUUACAGUGGUGAACUUAUUUAUGAGGUUCUCCUAAGGAAAUAAGGAUUCACAUUGGAACCAUUUUAAUUUAGGAAAUUUUAUUGAAAGAGUCAAGCUUCAGUUGGAAAGUUCAAGCUAACAUGACUGUUAAACUAAUUAGAAGUGGUUUGAUCUACACAUGGAAAAAAACAUGAAGCCUGGCAAUAUUCACUUAGGUGCUAUGUAGUCACUUAGACUACUGUGCUGAGCAUAUGUGUUCAGAUAUUCUAAAAAUAUGACUUGGGAGUUCCCAUCAUGGCACAGCAGAAACGAAAUCAACUAGUAUCCAUGAGGAUGCAGGCUGGAUCCCUGAGCUCGCUCAGUGGCUUAAGAAUCCAGAGUUGCUGUGAGCUGUGGUGUCUAUAGGCCAGCAGCUACAUCUCUGAUUAGACCUCUAGCCUGGGAACUGCCAUAUGCAAUGGGUGCUGUCCUAAAAAGCAAAAAAAAUAAAAAAUUAAAAAAAUUUAAAAUAUGACUUCUUUAAAGAGUUAAUAACAUCAGAUUAUAAUAAAAAAGUCAUAUAAAAUGAAACCAUGAAUCAACCCACCUGUUUAAGACAACUUUUUUCCACAUCAUCAUAAUUGCAGAAUUAACAAUGAAUCUCAACAUACUUCUACUCGUCCCACCUGGAUUUCAGGCCUCUAAAAAAUUUGAAGUCUGAGAAAACAGCAUAUAAAGCAUUCUUAAUUGUGAUUUGAAAAAUAUAACCUAUCCAAAAUCUUGUCAUCAACAGAAUCCAUGUUUGUUAACCCACUACCAGCCCUGUUUUGUAGAAAUGUAUUUUAUUCUAAUUUAACACAAAAAUCAGAGGAUGGUAUUUCUUAAUGAAUAUAAAUAGCCACCAAUAUAUAGCCAUUAACAUACACCAAAGGCAAGAAAGCAAUUUCAUGAGUUCCUGUCAUGCCUUAGAAGAAAUGAAUCUGACUAACAUCCAUAAGGAGGCAGGUUUGAUCCCUGGCCUUGAUCAGUGGGUUGGGGAUCUGGCAUUGCUGUGGGCUGUUGCCUAGGUUGCAGACUCAGCUCGGAUCCUGUGUUGCUGUUGCUGUGGUUUAGGCCAGAGGCUACAGCUCCAGUUGGACCCCUAGCCUGGGUAUCUCCAUGUGCUAUGGGUGUG
rnacentral:lncRNA from 1 species